rnacentral:rRNA from 1 species
GAUGAACGCUAGCUACAGGCUUAACACAUGCAAGUCGAGGGGCAGCGCAGUGUAGCAAUACAUGGGCGGCGACCGGCGCACGGGUGCGUAACGCGUAUCCAACCUUCCCGUUACUCAGGGAUAGCCUUCCGAAAGGGAGAUUAAUACCUGAUGGUGUUGAAAUUCCGCAUGUUAUUUCAAAUAAAGAUUUAUCGGUAAAGGAUGGGGAUGCGUGACAUUAGAUAGUAGGCGGGGUAACGGCCCACCUAGUCUACGAUGUCUAGGGGUUCUGAGAGGAAGGUCCCCCACACUGGAACUGAGACACGGUCCAGACUCCUACGGGAGGCAGCAGUGAGGAAUAUUGGUCAAUGGUCGGAAGACUGAACCAGCCAAGUAGCGUGAAGGAUGAAGGUUCUAUGGAUUGUAAACUUCUUUUAUACGGGAAUAAAACCUCCCACGUGUGGGAGCUUGUAUGUACCGUAUGAAUAAGCAUCGGCUAACUCCGUGCCAGCAGCCGCCGUAAGAC